rnacentral:lncRNA from 1 species
UGCCUGGAGUGAAGAUUCUGCCCAUUGGUCAAGAGACCUCCCUCUCAGAUGCUGGCUCUGCCCCUGCCUUUGGGGGUCGACCCUUGUACUCGCAGGACCUUAGGUGACUCUCCCCUAGAAGCAGGCAGUACAGAGCACAGCAGCUACUUAUCCCCACCUUACAGAUGAGAUGACUGAGAAGGGAGAACCAGCACUGCAAAAUCCUAGACUCCUGACUUGGAGUUCAGUACUCUUUGAUUCUACUUCUCUGAUCAUCCAGGAAGCCAACCUGCCUGAGGACGAGUCAUACUCUGUCCUCCCACCCCAGGCCAGAGAGUGGUAUCUGUCUUUCCACAAGUUGGAUCUGAAUGAUGCAGUGUCGCAAUCCCAUUUUAUAAAUGAGGCAACCAAAACUCGAACAGGACCAUAUUGCGACUGAAACAAGGCAUAACAGGUCUUUGACUGGCUAUCCUGUGGAUGUGGACUCAGGCUAGCCUGCGCAAAGUGAAAGACAGGCAAUUAGAUUGAAAAAUACCUGUGAUUCAAAGAAGUCACAAGUCACAGAGACAAACUUUUCCCAGUGUGUUCGAGUCAGAGAACCUUUGCAAAGACCAACAGGCUAAAAGAGAAAAUACAAUGUCAUGACACAGCUAGAAUAUGUU